rnacentral:rRNA from 1 species
UACGUAGGGGGCAAGCGUUGUCCGGAAUCAUUGGGCGUAAAGCGCGUGUAGGCGGCUCGGUAAGUCCGCUCUGAAAGUCCAGGGCUCAACCCUGGGAUGCGGGUGGAUACUGCCGGGCUCGAGUCCGGAAGAGGCGAGUGGAAUUCCCGGUGUAGCGGUGAAAUGCGCAGAUAUCGGGAGGAACACCAAUGGCGAAGGCAGCUCGCUAGGACGGUACUGACGCUGAGACGCGAAAGCGUGGGGAGCGAACAGG